CCCUGCACCUUCAUUAUAUCAGUGUUCCAUGUUGGAUCAUUUUCCAACACUCCCUUUGAAAUCAUCGGAUACUUCAUCAACGACCCGUAUUCCUCCAUUUCCUUCACUCCCGGCCGAACCCCACCCCAGUAUCCGGUAAUAGCGUGCCAUACAUACACGAAUUUCAACCCGUGCUUCUGUUUCGCGAUGUUUACGAUAUUCUUUAUCCCUAACAUUGGUUCAUCUUUCUUUUGGAAUUUCGAAUUUUCUUCGAUUCCAGUCAACCUAAGCAACUGCUGCUGUUUGUUCUCGUCGGUUUCCUCCUGUGGGUCGCCACCAACUGAUUG
rnacentral:misc_RNA from 1 species